rnacentral:misc_RNA from 1 species
AGAAGGGAAUACACAAACACAAAAUUUUAAUAAACUUUGUAGAUUUUAAUGUUUUAUUGAAGCCUUAGUAUGAAAAGAAAAAUAAAAAUGCAUUUAGUUCCAUCAUAAAAUUUUAGAUUUCUUCCAUUCUUCAUAAUAUUCUAAAUUUUUAGUACAUUUCUUCUUUAUCAAUGAAAUUAGUUUUGACUCAGAUAAUUAUCUCGGCUGUUAGUUAGCUCCACACUGAUCUCCCUCGCCUCUCUGUAAGUAGAAAGUCACAUUUUAAUUUUUCUCUUUUUU